rnacentral:misc_RNA from 1 species
CAGGGAGACAACAAAAUGUUUAAUAUUAUUAUUUUGUCACCUUAGGUCGAUCGGAAUCUCACGUUUUUAAUUUGUUAAGAAUUUCAUUUCCUAAGUUUUUCUAGGUCACACCCAUUAUUUUUCCUGGGCCAGUGNUNGNUGGUGAGAUCGCACCCCUGACAGUGGUGGGGGGGGGGGCUGGGNCAGGGAGGGCCCAUAUUUCUAUGUGGGGGGNAUAGCUCANUUGGUAGAGCGCCGGCUUUGCAAGAAGAAUGUCAGGGGUUCGAGUCCGCUUACCUCCACGGAUAACCACCUCUUCCUUAAUUGGAAAAAAGGAAAGGUUUGGAGUAUGGAUCUAAUCUGAAACAAUCUAACUUCCUAAUGAAAUCAAUAAAAUGCCGGACUUAUUGGAAUAAUUUCAUUGUUUUCCNANAACCUUGACNACUGCAUAGAAUAUUUUUAAAGACAAUAAGCAUCUUUAAUGAUGCAUAUUUAUUAUUUGUGCGAAUGCAUCAAUAACAAUUCUAUUAAGCUGAUGCUUCAAUUUUUGAAGUUAUU